CUCAAGCAGCCCGGAGGAGACUGACAGUCCCCGGGACCCUGAAGGUCAUCCGGGCGGCCCCCUCACUGACCCUCCAAACGCCCCUGUCCUCGCCCUGCCUCCUGCCAUUCCCGGCCUGAGUCUCAGCAUGGCGGAUGAGAGCAGCGAUGCGGUGAGAGCAGCGGGCUAAGGCGUGGAUGGGACCCCCAGGGCCAGGGCUAGGGAACCUCGCCCUGCACCAGCCCCAGUCAGACGCCGCUCCUCCAACUACCGCGCUUAUGCCACGGAGCCGCAUGCCAAGAAAAAAUCUAAGAUCUCCGCCUCGAGAAAAUUGCAGCUGAAGACUCUGCUGCUGCAGAUUGCAAAGCAGGAGCUGGAGCGAGAGGCGGAGGAGCGGCGCGGAGAGAAGGGGCGCGCUCUGAGCACCCGCUGCCAGCCGCUGGAGUUGGCCGGGCUGGGCUUCGCGGAGCUGCAGGACUUGUGCCGACAGCUCCACGCCCGUGUGGACAAGGUGGAUGAAGAGAGAUACGACAUAGAGGCAAAAGUCACCAAGAACAUCA
rnacentral:sRNA from 1 species